GGGGAAGGCGGCGGCCUGCCUCCCAGAGCUGUUGUGGGAACGCAGGGAGUGCUCGUGUGUGAGACCCUUCCAUGACGUCCGGCACAGGAGGUGGAGAACAGCACAUCAAAACCAGAAGAUGAACCAGAAGGUUGCUGGCGGGUUCUAGAAAACUCCGACCGCAAGGAUGAGGAAGAAUGUGCUGAGUUAUAUAAGAAGCUGGUUUGAAUGUGCUUCUGGUGCCGGGUGCGUGCUCCCUGAGGUGAGUCACCGCCAACCUCCUUCUCCCUGGGGCACGUGGGGCUGCUCCCCUCAUGCUCUGGGGCCCCAGGUUAGCCCAGGCUCUUCCGACGACCCCGAAGCUCAGCGUGCGUUCUCGGGACGUGCUUCUGGAGUUUCCGAGGGGAGGACAAAACUUCCAAGGGCUUCCCUGAGAAAGUGCUGGAGCCUUGGCUCCUGCCCACACGGGGGUGGGCUGCCGAGGUGCCGGAAAGAGGAGCCCGUGCCCGACGGGAGCCAGCCAGGUUGUCCGGACUGUGUGGUGCCUGUCAGGCCCUCCAAGAUGCAGACCCCAGGCAGGCCGCGUCAAGCCAGAGACGGACGCGGGCUCGUGCCCCCAGGCGAGCUGCUACACAGACGGAAUCAGGUUUUCCUUCCACGUAGGGGCCGCCUCUGGGGGAAGCGAGGUCCCUCUUCCCGAAUGCUUCAUCUCUGCCUGGAAUGUGUCAUCGUCCCAGGCCCCCGGGGUGCUCCAGGCUGGUGGUCGCGGCGCGUCUUGCCUCCUCUGAGCAGAUGGAAGCCGGCCCGCGAAUCUGAGGCCUGGGCUAGUCCCUCCUCUGUAGAGUGGGACCGCCUGUCCCACCACGUGAGUGGGUGUGAAGUAGCCCACCGGUCCUGUGCCGUGUGUGAGUCCGGAGAUACGCGGCUGAUUUCAAAUACUUCAUAGAGAAAACGAAUGUAAUAUACCUUACUAACGUUUCUUUCAGUAUCGAUUACUUGUUAAAGGAUAACAUUUUGGAUCUGUUGGGUGAAAGAUAAUCUAUUAUUAAAAUGAA